rnacentral:rRNA from 1 species
ACACGUGGGCAACCUACCUUAUAGUUUGGGAUAACUCCGGGAAACCGGGGCUAAUACCGAAUAAUCUGUUUCACCUCAUGGUGAAACACUGAAAGACGGUUUCGGCUGUCGCUAUAGGAUGGGCCCGCGGCGCAUUAGCUAGUUGGUGAGGUAACGGCUCACCAAGGCGACGAUGCGUAGCCGACCUGAGAGGGUGAUCGGCCACACUGGGACUGAGACACGGCCCAGACUCCUACGGGAGGCAGCAGUAGGGAAUCUUCCACAAUGGGCGAAAGCCUGAUGGAGCAACGCCGCGUGAGUGAAGAAGGAUUUCGGUUCGUAAAACUCUGUUGUAAGGGAAGAACAAGUACAGUAGUAACUGGCUGUACCUUGACGGUACCUUAUUAGAAAGCC